GGUGAACGCUGGUGGCGUGCCUAAGACAUGCAAGUCGAGCGGGCCGCGGGGUUUUACUCCGUGGUCAGCGGCGGACGGGUGAGUAACGCGUGGGUGACCUACCCGGAAGAGGGGGACAACCCGGGGAAACUCGGGCUAAUCCCCCAUGUGGACCCGCCCCUUGGGGUGUGUCCAAAGGGCUUUGCCCGCUUCCGGAUGGGCCCGCGUCCCAUCAGCUAGUUGGUGGGGUAAUGGCCCACCAAGGCGACGACGGGUAGCCGGCCUGAGAGGGUGGCCGGCCGAGGGGGCACGGAGACACGGGCCCCACGCCGGCGGGGGGGAGGAGUUAGGAAUCGUCGGAAAUGGGCGUAAGCCUGGCGGAGCGACGCCGCCGGGAGGAAGAAGCCGGUCGGGGUGUAAACGGCUGAGCGCGGGACGAACCCCCCGACGAGGGGACUGACGGUACGGGGGUAAUAGCGACGGCCAACUCCGUG
rnacentral:rRNA from 1 species